GGGCGAGUAACGCGUGAGCAACCUGCCCCUCAGUGGGGAACAACAGUUGGAAACGACUGCUAAUACCGCAUAACGUACUUUGGCCGCAUGACCGGAGUACCAAAGGAGCAAUUCGCUGAGGGAUGGGCUCGCGUCCGAUUAGCUAGAUGGUGGGGUAACGGCCUACCAUGGCGACGAUCGGUAGCCGAACUGAGAGGUUGAUCGGCCGCAUUGGGACUGAGACACGGCCCAGACUCCUACGGGAGGCAGCAGUGGGGGAUAUUGCACAAUGGAGGAAACUCUGAUGCAGCAACGCCGCGUGAGGGAAGAAGGUCUUCGGAUUGUAAACCUAAGUAGUCAGGGACGAAAGAAAUGACGGUACCUGAAGAGUAAGCUCCGGCUAACUACGUGCCAGCAGCCGCGGUAAUACGUAGGGAGCGAGCGUUGUCCGGAUUUACUGGGUGUAAAGGGUGCGUAGGCGGGCCUGCAAGUCAGACGUGAAAUACCGGGGCUUAACUCCGGGGCUGCGUUUGAAACUGUGGGUCUUGAGUGAAGUAGAGGCAGGCGGAAUUCCUAGUGUAGCGGUGAAAUGCGUAGAUAUUAGGAGGAACACCAGUGGCGAAGGCGGCCUGCUGGGCUUUAACUGACGCUGAGGCACGAA
rnacentral:rRNA from 1 species